CUCGUGUAUCCUUACUCAUCAAGUGUGUCCAGCAGGCUGCACCUCGGGGCAUUUACACGUGCCUUUCCCUCUGCCUGGAAUGCUCUUCCCCCAGGUAGUCACGUGGCUCACUCCCGUCCUCAGUGGGGAAGGAGCUCAGAAUGCCCUUCCAUCUGAGUGGCCUUCCCUGCAUCCCACCCCCCAAAUCACCCUCCCCGGGACCACUGUUCUCCACAGCACCUCUCAGCUCCUUCAUGUCUGUCCACCUGCACCCCAUGGAGUUUGUCUUUGUUCCCUGCCAGGGGCUCUCCAAGAAUAUUCCUGGAAGAACUGAAUGUUGCCAGAUUAGCUGCUCCCAUGCCUGGAGUCCUCUGCUGCCUGACAGCCCACGAAUCCCUUCCCAUCAGCCAGCCUCAGCUGCCACCAGCCUCCUCCGCCAGCCCAUGCAGGCCACUCCUAGCCAGAGCGAGGGUCUUCUCUGCACUCUGCCUGGAAUCGCCUGCAUGACUUGCUCUUCCUUCUGUGGUGGUGUCUCCUAGAGAGCCUGUCGGGCACCUGGCUAAAGGGAGACAUUUCCCGGAAUAAGUCCUGAAUGUGGCUGUGGUGUUUUACGGCAUCUCCCAUCAGGGUGGGGUCUGUGUUACUCCUUGGGCUAGCUGUCUUUGAUGACUAGGAUGUGGUGGGGGUGGCAUGGUGCCCUGCCUGGGCUUGGCUCACUCUGCCUGCUGCUCUGUCCUUGAGCUAUCAGGACCCCGAGGCCACCAUGGGGAUAAGCCCACAAGAACCUGCCAGGGGAUGAGAGACCAUGUGGUUGGAGUCCCAGGUGACCUGGCCGUCCCCUCAGCCCAUAUCAGCCCCUGCAGAUUGUAGAUGCAUGAGGGGCCCAGCCACCAUUGCCACAUCCUGUCUUGGGCCAAAAGAACCGCCCUGCUGAGCCCAGCCCAGAUGCCAACCCACAGAGCCGUGAGCUAAAUGAAUGGCUCAGUGUUGUGAGCCACUGGGAUCUGGGGUAAUGACACAGCAAGAGCUACUGCUGCCCCAGCCUCAGGUAGCUCACACUGCCUUCUAUUGCUCUAAACUCAAUUCACGUUGAUUUGCUUACCUGCUCACUAUCUGUCUUCACCAUUAGAAUAUCAGAUUCAAGAGGACAUGAUCUUUGUCACCACUGAAUCUGAACAAUACUAGGGUCUAAACAAAUAAUAAGAGUUCACAUUUAUUAAGGAUUUACAAUACACCAAA